UACGUAGGGGGCUAGCGUUGUCCGGAUUUAUUGGGCGUAAAGAGCGCGUAGGCGGCCGAGUAAGUCCGACGUGAAAUCUGGAGGCUCAACCUCCAGCGGUCGUUGGAAACUACUCGGCUAGAGUCCGGAAGAGGAGAGUGGAAUUCCUGGUGUAGCGGUGAAAUGCGCAGAUAUCAGGAAGAACACCGAUGGCGAAAGCAGCUCUCUGGGACGGUACUGACGCUGAGACGCGAAAGCGUGGGGAGCAAACAGG
rnacentral:rRNA from 1 species